UUAAUACCUCGUUAGGUGAGGCUCCUAUACAGAUACAGGCUGCUGCCCGGAAACAUCGAGAGAUGGUAACGGGUGAACAGGCAUUACCGAAUCAAGGUUUUGCCUAAUGCAGCUGGAGUUUUCUCCAAAGCUGUAUAGUGCCAAAGCUCAACGAAGGAAAUUGGAU
rnacentral:sRNA from 18 species